UGAAUCAGUUCUGUAGGGUGUACUGCUGUAUGAAUCAGUUCUGAAGGGUGUACUGCUGAAUGAAUCAGUUCUGUAGGGUGUACUGCUGUAUGAAUCAGUUCUGUGAGGUGUACUGCUGUAUGAAUCAGUUCUGAAGGGUGUACUGCUGUAUGAAUCAGUUCUGUGAGGUGUACUGCUGUAUGAAUCAGUUCUGUGAGGUGUACUGCUGUAUGAAUCAGUUAUGUGAGGGGUACUGCUGUAUGAAUCAGUUCUGUAGGGUGUACUGCUGUAUGAAUCAGUUCUGAAGGGUGUACUGCUGUAUGAAUCAGUUCUGUAGGGUGUACUGCUGUAUGAAUCAGUUCUGAAGGGUGUACUGCUGUAUGAAUCAGUUCUGUAGGGUGUACUGCUGUAUGAAUCAGUUCUGAAGGGUGUACUGCUGUAUGAAUCAGUUCUGUAGGGUGUACUGCUGUAUGAAUCAGUUCUGAAGGGUGUACUGCUGUAUGAAUCAGUUCUGUGAGGUGUACUGCUGUAUGAAUCAGUUCUGAAGGGUGUACUGCUGUAUGAAUCAGUUCUGUGAGGUGUACUGCUGUAUGAAUCAGUUCUGAAGGGUGUACUGCUGUAUGAAUCAGUUCUGUGAGGUGUACUGCUGUAUGAAUCAGUUAUGUGAGGUGUACUGCUGUAUGAAUCAGUUCUGUGAGGGGUACUGCUGUAUGAAUCAGUUCUGUGAGGGGUACUGCUGUAUGAAUCAGUUCUGUGAGGGGUACUGCUGUAUGAAUCAGUUCUGUGAGGGGUACUGCUGUAUGAACCAUACACCAGUACGCCCUACAAAACAGUGGUUCAUACACCAGUAUGCCAAACAGAACAGUGGUUCAUACACCAGUCCACCUCACCAAACAGUAGUUUAUCCAGUACUAUCCAGUACACCAGAGUGCGAAGCAUGCAAAGA